rnacentral:tRNA from 2 species
GCGAGAGUGGCGAAAUGGCAGACGCGCCGGUCUUAGAAGCCGGUGCCGCAAGGCGUGUGGGUUCAAGUCCCUCCUCUCGCA